rnacentral:lncRNA from 1 species
UGAGUAAGCACAUGGCAGCGUCCGCUUGCAUCGUGUCUGUUCUAUGUUUUUAUAUUUACAUCUAUAUAUCUAUAAUUUUAUUAAAAAAAGGAAAAAUCAUUUUGAGCCUUUCCUUGGGCAAGGCUGUGGCUGUGGGUACAGGGGUGUCUCAGGAAAGGGGUUGGCCAGCUGGUGCAGGGUGGCAUGUUCCUCUUGGACAGCUCUGCUGGCAUUGCCAAGUCAGGCCUAGUUGGUAACGAAUGGACUUCUGCUGGUGAGUUGCAAAGGUGUCUUACUCCCAGUCUGUGUCAUGCCGGACGGAAGGGUGUUUGGUGAAAGGCUAGGACCUCAGCUGCCUCCUGGGACUCUGAGGUACCAAAGGGCUUGGAGCAGCUAUAUAGUGGAGGCUGCACAUGAGGCCAAUGCCUGGCCGAGAAACCUACAGAUACUACUAUACUUCUUCCCUGCCAUAUGCCAAGGGAGGAAUUAGGGAGUGUCAGGAAGAACUCAGAGCAGGGCUGGAAAGGGCUAGGGUAGGUCCAGAGUUUCAAGAAGGGGAGGUGUCCAGAGCCUGGGGCCCCUUAGUUCUACCCACUGCUGACUUCCACCUUUCUGCUUCUCUCUCAUGGAUAUCGGCCAACAGGGGGCGCAUUGGCAGCUGUAGCCGUGGAUGGGGGUGGCGUGGUACGCCUAGGGGGACUCCUGGCCUCCACCUAUGCCACCUUGGCCACCCUGAGGAUCACCCGCCGCUGCGGGCCCCCUGGAGCGUGGCUGCUGGGGCAGCCCCCCGUGGGACCAUUUGUCGGCUACAUUCUGCUGCAUCCAGCCUUUUCCCCAGCCUCUCAGGUCCCUAACAGGACACUAGUAGGUGGCUCUAGGGCCAUGGACAGUCUUCUGGGGACCCAGAAGACGAGGUUGCUGUAGAGCUUUGGAGUUGGGCUGGAUGUAGCCUGGAGAUCCCUACCCCGUUCCCCGUCAACCAGCCACAUCUUGACUGAUCAGUCUGCCAGGGUCCACGACCCUGUCUCCAGGUGACCUCAGGAAGUCCCCCCACCUGCUGCAGGGGUCCAGUGCCCCAAUGGGGGUGGCCUCAGAGCUACUGGGAACCAGCAUGACCUUUACCCCAACCUCCUUACCCCUUCCAAGCACUUUAAGCCACUUCCUCUAGGGAGCCCAGGCCUCUGUGGGUUGGGCUGGGGUGGGGGUCUCAGGUCACCGCAGGUUACUGCACUCCUCCACUCAACCCCAAGCCCCUGAACAGAUGCCUUAAAGUCCUGGAGCUGCCAGCCAGCUUGGUGCACCAUGAACCUGGUCCACCCGUCUCUGCCUCUUGCCUGCUCUGACCCACCUGGGUCUUCUGCAGCCAAGGGUGAUACCUCUGGGAAUACCCAAGCCUGUGGGCCUGGAUACCCCUGGGAGGAGUCAGAACAGAACCCCUGCCAACUCCUCUUUUCACACAGGGGCUGUGUCCUGGGGGCUACUUCUGGGCAGCAGUUAUGUGUCUCCCAUAUGGGGACAGAUCACAAACUGUUUUCUGUUGUAUAGGAUUUCCCUCCCUCAACUUCCCUAAUAAAUUUUUUUUUUGUUCACCUC